UACGAAGGGGACUAGCGUUGUUCGGAAUUACUGGGCGUAAAGCGCACGUAGGCGGAUCUUUAAGUCAGGGGUGAAAUCCCAAGGCUCAACCUUGGAACUGCCUUUGAUACUGGGGAUCUCGAGUCCGGAAGAGGUGAGUGGAACUGCGAGUGUAGAGGUGAAAUUCGUAGAUAUUCGCAAGAACACCAGUGGCGAAGGCGGCUCACUGGUCCGGUACUGACGCUGAGGUGCGAAAGCGUGGGGAGCAAACAGG
rnacentral:rRNA from 1 species